rnacentral:lncRNA from 1 species
UUAAUUCUGUAUUAUGGACUGGAUAAUAGUCCGUUGCAUGGACAGACCACAUUGUGUUUAUCCAUGCAUCCAUUAAUGGGCUUUGAUUUCUGUGAAUAAUUGGUUAUUUGUCAAAAUUCAUAGACGUGAACACACACACACGCACACCCAGCAGCUGCCAAAGCUCUCCUUUGAAAACGAAUCAGAUCACCUCCUUCCUGAGCUCACAGACUUCCGUGAUAUGCCAGCUCCCAUUUCUCACCACGUUCUCAGCACUUUGCUCCUCUAACUUGCUGCACAUCCUUCCCCUGCAGAGCUUUUUUAAAAAAGUUGUAUUUUGAGAUAUUUCACAAAUGAAUGUACUAAAACCCACUGACUUGUAUACACUGAAAGUAUACAACGUAGGUUGGGCACUGAGGCUCACACCUGUAAUCCCAGCACUUUGGGAGGCUGAGGGGGGUGGAUCACUUGAGGUCAGGAGUUUGACACCAUCCUGGCCAACAUGGUGAAACCCCGUUUCUACUAAAAAUACAAAAAUUAGCCAGGUGUGGUGUCGACGCCUGUAAUCCCAGCAACUCAGGAGGCUGAGGCACGAGAAUCACCUGGGAGGUGGAGCUUGCAGUGAGCCAAGAUCGUGCCACUGCACUCCAGCCUGGGCGACAGAGCUAGACUCCGUUUCAAAAAAAAAAAAGGGCCAGGCGCGGUGGCUCAUGCCUGUAAUCUUAACACUUUGGGAGGCUGAUAUGGGCAGAUCACCUGAGGUCAGGAGUUCAAGACCAGCCUGGCCAACAUGGCGAAAACCCAUCUCUACUAAGAAAAUACAAAAAUUAGCUGGGUGUGGUGGCACGUGCCUGUAAUCUCAGCUGCUCAGGAGGCUGAGACAGGAGAAUCGCUUGAACCCAGGAGGUGGAGGUUGUAGCGAGCUGAGAUCCUGCCUCUGUAUUCCAGCCUGGGUGACACAGCAAGACUGUCUCAAAAAAUAUAUAUAUAUUUUUUUAAUAGAGUCAGAGGUCUCCCUGUGUUACCCAGGCUGGUCUCAAACUCCUGGGCCCAAGUGAUCCACCUACCUAGAUCUCCACAAGUGCUGGAAUUACAGGUGCGAGCCAUUGCACCCAGCUCCUCCCGUGGUUUGCAGACAGGGUUCCAGGGUCAGGGAGGAGACACAGCUGACACCUCUCGCAGGGCCAGCAACCUGAACCUGGGGGAGUCUUUCUGAUGGCCUCAAGGGGUGAAAUGCAGCAAACCUGAGUCUCUGACUUCCCAGGAGAUGCUGGAAGAAGCCACGUGGCCUCUGCUCAUUACACCUGUCACGUUUGCUCUGGGAGCCUUUGGCUGCCAUGUAAGAAAUCUAGAUGAGGUCAAGUGAAGAGACCAGAGAGAGCAAGACCAAAGUGAACAAGGAGAAAAAGAGAGAGAAAGAGAUUGGGGGGCGGGGAAGAGAAGGGGAAGUGAGAAGGCAGGGAGAGAGGGAGAGAGAAGAAAGGGAGAGGGAGAUGCUGGAGGAGCUGUGUGUUCUCACUCACGCCUUCAAGAGUCACUACCUGUCCAUGACCAUGUGACCGUGCAGGAGCCUCAGUGGAGAGCCUCUGAGUCAAGCCCAGUCAACCCGCAGAGUCAUCCGCAGUGAUAAAUAUCGUUGGGAGCUGUGGCUUGGGGUUUGUUACUUCGCAAUAAAGCACCUUCUCAUGGGCCUUCUCUCCUUUCCCGUGGCAUUCUGGCUUCCAGGGGACCACCUCUCCACCC